UCUCACUUAGACACCUCGUCACUCAAUGCUAAAUACUUGAAGAUGGCUGUGGGGAUCAUCUUCUUCUUCAUCGGCUUCUCUGCAGCUACUGGUGGAGCAGCUUACUACUGGUGGAAACAGAGGUUUGACUUCAGCCAAUCAGGCAGACAAGCACAAACUCCAUGUGAUCCCUCAGAAUUGUUGAGUUAUUAACAGAAUAAGAUAAAGCUCUGCUGAAGAUCUGAAUUAGGAUGCAAUAUAAAGUAUUAAAGCUGGUGACCCCUUCAGCCCACAAAAAAAAAAGAAAAUUAUCCCUCUCAGCAUGCCUGACCUACAGUGGAAGGAGAAAAACGACAUCGUGGGAAGAUGACAUGCUGUUGUUUCCCCCCCAGCAUGGUGGAGCGCCUCCUUUAUCAUUUUUGUCAACCAAGGACUUAACCGACAUGUUAUCCUUCAAAACAAAGUGCCAUAAAUUGUUUCAACGUUGUGUUAGGAUCAUCUUGUAGAAUUAGGUGUCAGACCUGUCACUUACAAUAACGGUUUCACCUUGGUUUGAAACUUAUCAUCUUUACAUGACAUGCAGUUCAUUUAUUUUGUAUUGAAUUCAUUCAUUUAGUUAAAUUAUAUAUUCUUAAGGUUUCCCUUUCACUAUAUGAUCAUCUAAACACUGUGGCAUUGUGACUUCUCUACACUUCCACACUGCAAAAAAAUAAAAAACUGAUUUAAAGCUGCUGUAAUCAAUAUUUUUAUAUUAAUAAUGGAUCACAUGACAACAUGUAUGUUUACAGGUGUCAGUCAUAGUGAGGAACCCACAGAGGAGUAUCACUGGACUCUGUAGUUCCCCUCAGCUCCACGUGUCUUUCAGCGAAAGGUUUUGUUUUCUGUAGCCGACAGGCAGCUGUUACCAGCGGGAAAAAAACUCUACAAACCUACUGUACACUAUUUGCUAAGCAACAAAUGAUAGACAGACAAAGUUAGGUUAAGAAAAUUUAGUAUUUUGAAGAUAAAAAGCCAGAUAUUUCCCUCAAGAGUUGGUAGAGACCAAAAACAACUACAUUGAUCAGGUGGCCUGAAAAGAAUGAUAACGUUUCUCCGUAUCUAGUGGUUGUGUAAAUAAGGAACUGUUUGCUAACAAGUUCGCCAUAUCAACUUAAAUGGUCAUAAGAUGGUGAUUACGGCCUGUUACCGCUGCACCCAAGCAGCCCAACAAAUGUAUUCUUGUAGAUUUAGAAGAUAUUGAGUCUGAAUAACAUCAUAAUCAGCCUCACACCAUGUGUAAUUUGCAAACUUCUCCUCAGGUCCCAAACUCUCAGGUACUAUACUGUAGACAUGACAGGAGUUGGUAGCUACGACCCAUUCUGUAUAUUAAUGCAUUGAGAAUAACUAUACAGUGUCAUGUACAGUACACUUAUGUAAUAUGCUAGAUGGUAAAAGUUCAAGUUCAUGCAGUCUGUAAAAGUGUUUUGUCAGCCUACCGUCCAUUAUUUGUCCUAUAUAUGUAGAUAAUGUAAGAUAAUAGGUAUUAUUUUUAUGUUCAUGUGUAAAUAUGAGUGUCAGUGUGUAAAGAUGUAUGUAUACAGUGAUAUCUUGAUCACCAUAAUAAGAGUAUAACGCUGCUUUCCUUAAUUCAGUAAACAUGGGCUUUAUCAGUCCCCGGUGAUAUACAGUAGGGUGUGGAUGUCUGCAUAUCCUGGCGAGACAAAAUAAACCUUUUCUAAUCUCUUA